AAUCUUCGCCUUUCUUACUUCUUCAGCUGACUGCAAAUCUCCAAGCAUCAAACCUGGGGCCUGAGCAGACUUAGCUUCUAGAUUGAGCUUCAGGUUGCCACCAUCAUUAUGUUGUAGCUUCUCAAAACGUUGAAGGACUAAGGAUAUCACGGAGUAGCACAAACAAGCAAGAGAGUCACUGUCAAAAUUCAACAGAAAAAGGAAAGAGUUCCUGUUUUUGUUUCCCACAUGAUUUGAUUCUGCCUAAUAAUUCCAGGAUUCCACCCUUUUGGAAAA